UGUAGAGAAUCUGCCUUUGAGCGGGGGACGAACAGUUGGAACGAUUGCUAAUACCCCAUAUGAGCGUACCUGAAAUGGUAUUCUUGAAAACUCCGGUGCUCAAAGAUGAGUCUGCAUCUGAUUAGCUAGUUGGCGGUGUAAUGGACCACCAAGGCGACGAUCAGUAGCUGGUUUGAGAGGAUGAUCAGCCACAAUGGGACUGAGACACGGCCCAUACUCCUACGGGAGGCAGCAG
rnacentral:rRNA from 1 species